GUGCCAGCCGCCGCGGUAAUACCGGCAGCCCGAGUGAUGGCCGAUGUUAUUGGGCCUAAAGCGUCCGUAGCUGGCCAUGCAAGUCCACUGGGAAAUCCACCUGCCCAACAGGUGGGCGUCCGGCGGAAACUGUGUGGCUUGGAACCGGAAGGCUCAGAGGGUACGUCCGGGGUAGGAGUGAAGUCCCGUAAUCCCGGACGGACCACCGAUGGCGAAAGCACUCUGAGAAGACGGCUUCGACAGUGAGGGACGAAAGCUAGGGUCUCAAACCGGAUUAGAAACCCUAGUAGUCC
rnacentral:rRNA from 1 species